ensembl:lncRNA
AUAAUGGUUUCCUGCUGCUCAAGGGAGCAGCUGCAGAGACGCAGAGUCUGCUCACAGCAACACAGGGAUGCUGUCUCAGGGAGUGAUGAGAUUGUACCUUUCAUCACAGGAGGGCAGCACAUUUCCUGAACAUGGGCUCCUGCUUCUCACUGAGUUCCUGAGACAGAUGUCACCAUCAGAGAAAUGCCAGGAAGGAACUGGAAUGCGUCACCCACCAAGUUUAGUGGCAGCCCUAUUGCCCAGGGACAAUGCCCACCACUCAGCCAAGAACACCUGAAGAUCCUAGUGACAGUCAUCCAGUUUGGUCCCUGACUGGUAGCAGGGAGGCUCAAGAUGACAGAAGCAGAAAAGAGUGGUGUUGAUCCAAAAGGAGUUAUACAAGAAGCUGAAGUCCAACACAUUCAUUUUUGCAUGAGGAUGUUUGGCUAUUUAAAAAAGACAACUUGGGACCCUGCUACAGACAGGCAGGUCUGUGCAUGCCCUACCGAGGCCCUAAGGUGCAUGGAAGAAGCCGAAUCACCCUGCUGCAGACAGGCAGACACCUGAUUCCACACUACAAAGACACAGAGGACACCAGAUCACCAGAACAAGGAGAGCGUGUGGGUGAAUGAUGAUGAUGAUGAUGAUGACAAUGACAUUGGUGUUGGUCAUAUGAGCCAAAGUUCCCAUGACAGUGAAAUGGAGCAAGAAUCAACUGAUAAAGACACAGAGAAUGCCAAUCUACUUGAUUCAGAUGACAAAGAAAAAAGCAAUUGCACAUUUUACAACAUAGUAGGAAGCACCUGAAAAAACAGGAAGAGAAGAGAGGUGACAAGGCUGCCACAUAGGAAAAACCCCAGCAUAUGUGCUGUCAGUGUAAGCAAGAUGUGUGCAUGGAACAUGCAGUGGUCAUGUGUGAAGACUGCCUUGGAUGUGACAAUUGAAGCAAAGAUUACUUUUGUUGUAGUGUUCUAUUGGUAUUUUCAUUGUAGUUUACCUGUUUUAAUUCUGUAGUUACCUUUAAGAUUUUAUAAUCAAGUACACAGCUGAUGUGAAAAUGUGCUUAUUCUAAAUGUGCAAUGCAUAUUAAUAAUUUAAUACUUUACUUUAUAUUCCUGUUAACUACACAUUGUGUGAGCCUCCUGACCACACAGCAAGACCAGUGAGAUGCCAAGUAUGUCCUACAAAAAGGCCAGGAAAGCCAAACAUAUGUACUGUUAGCAAUACAUGUGUAUGGAAUGUGCUAUUGUUAUGUGUGACAACUGCCUUAGGUGUGAUAAUUGAAGUAAAGAUUUGUUUUUUGUAGAAUGCUAUUGGUAUUUUAAUUGUUGUUCAUAUAGAAAUUUAUUGCUAUUGUUCUUUUUUUAGAUAUUGUACAUCAAAAACCAGUCAAUGUUGAAAAUUUUGAUGCUUUUUAAAUAAAAACUCAGUAAAUAUUAAAUAUUAAAUAUUUUAUUUUUGUGAUUUUCCCUGUUAAGUCCUCAUUGUUUAAUAUAAUAAAAGUCAUAAAAUUAAAAUUGGUAAUUCAUUCAAUUCAUGGAGACCACUCUGAAUGAGCUAAAAUUCAUAAAUUGGCUUUUUAUAUUAAAAGUCUGAGUCUGCCUAUUGGUCCACAAUGGUUUGCCUGAAGAGCCAGCAGUUGGUGUGUGG